rnacentral:misc_RNA from 1 species
ACCAGUCAUGCCACCAGUAGAUUAAAAAAAGGCAUGAUAAGCAUAAAUGCUUUCUUGAAUAGAAAUAUGUUAAUUACAAUGCAUUCAGGUAGAGAGCUGCUUCUAAUUUCUAUUUACAUGGAAGCAAUCGCAAGACCAAUCAUACAAUACAGCAAACAUGCAACCGAUAGAUAAUAUAUUUGAACUAUCUGCCUUGAAAAUAUAUAACACAUAUUCUUCAGUUAUGCACUGAACCCCUUGUGAAGAGAGCUCCAUGGACCAGAUGGAAAGUUGACACAAGCUUGUGCAGAUGCUUCGGCCAUCUGUUCCUUUCCAAUUCCGGCAUUGCAGAGGUUUGCAAGAGAGCGCAUGUGCUUCAUUCCAUACUGGGACAAGGAUCCACAAUGUGUCUCAAAUGUCCUCACCAGUGUUCUGAGGCAAGCCCAAUCAUCAACAAGAGGUUGCCCAGCAGGACGAACAGUGUUCAGCACCUCGGAGGCUUUUCCAAUUCCAAAUAGCAGCUUCCCAACAAGUUUUAUGCUGUUGUCUAUAUGCAUCCUAUGAGACAUUGCUUCAACAAACUGCUUUUGAGCUUGAACCUUUCUUGUAGAGCCAUCAGGGGCCUUGUGGUACUUAUCCCAGAAAUGGACAAGAUCAGCAUCACGCUGGUUAACAGCUUUUGAAGGUGGUAUCAAAGAGUUCUCAUCCACGAAAGUAGAGUUAUCAUUUGCAGGAUUUGUUCCCAUAUACACAAAGAGGUUAUCUGUGCCAAGUCCUAUAUCACCAUAGUGCAUGACAUGAGAUCCAUAUGCAGAGUUGCCAUUUGCAGUUCUCCUUUUAACCAGUUGAUAUUG